UACGGAGGGUGCAAGCGUUAAUCGGAAUUACUGGGCGUAAAGCGCACGCAGGUGGCUGAGUCAGUCGAUUGUGAAAGCCCUGGGCUUAACCUGGGAAUUGCAGUCGAUACUACUCAGCUAGGAGUAUGGGAGAGGGUAGUGGAAUUCCCGGUGUAGCGGUGGAAAUGCGUAGAUAUCGGGAGGAACAUCAGUGGCGAAGGCGGCUACCUGGCCCAAUACUGACACUCAGGUGCGACAGCGUGGGAGCAACAGG
rnacentral:rRNA from 1 species